rnacentral:rRNA from 1 species
GACGAACGCUGGCGGCGUGCUUAACACAUGCAAGUCGAACGGAAAGGCCCUGCUUUUGUGGGGUGCUCGAGUGGCGAACGGGUGAGUAACACGUGAGUAACCUGCCCUUGACUUUGGGAUAACUUCAGGAAACUGGGGCUAAUACCGGAUAGGAGCUCCUGCUGCAUGGUGGGGGUUGGAAAGUUUCGGCGGUUGGGGAUGGACUCGCGGCUUAUCAGCUUGUUGGUGGGGUAGUGGCUUACCAAGGCUUUGACGGGUAGCCGGCCUGAGAGGGUGACCGGCCACAUUGGGACUGAGAUUCGGGCCAGACUCCUACGGGAGGGAGCAGGGGGGAAUAUUGCAACAUGGGCGGAAGCCUGAUGCAGCAACGGCGCGUGCGGGAUGACGGCCUUCGGGUUGUAAACCGCUUUCGCCUGUGACGAAGCGGGAGGGACGGUAAUGGGUAAAGAAGCACCGGCUAACUACGUG